rnacentral:lncRNA from 1 species
UAAACAUUUUUCAUUGGAGAUUUCUAGUAGUAUUUAAAAUUGGAGAUGGAUUGUGCCAAAUCUUCCCUUAGCGGGCUCUAGGUUUUAUUGCUUUUGUGUCUUGUCUAGUUCCAGACAUCCAAUCUGUACUGGCAAAGCUGCCUGAUGAGGAGAGGCCACCAACAUCGCUGCCCUGACUGCUUACAUACCUGCCAUGAAUAAUAGACUUGUCAGCUAGUUAAUCACUGCAUUGUAACUGUCUCUGUUCCUUCUUAGCUGAUCACUUCCCAGAGGAGUUUAAGUUCCAUUGUAACAGGAAACUUCUAUUAUGUUUCCAUACCUGCAUUUAUUUGUAUGCAAAAGCAUUCAUUCUUCUUUUUUCAUAUGACAGUAAAUAAGACAUGCCCCACUUUUUUGACAGUUCUUAAAUUACGUAAUAAACAAUGUAUUCUUUUUUCCUUUGUUUAUCCUGUUCUUCAGCCUCUCAUCAGUUUACUUCUGCAUAUGAGCCAAUUACAUUUUAUUCAUUAGUUAUAAGAUUUGGAAAUACUAACACCUACCUCACAAUCCACAGUUCUGUAAGUUUUUGGUUGAGAUUAUAGUUAUUUGGGGUAAGUAUUGUAAGAGAUCGUCAUAAUUUCCUCAAAAUGUCUAUGAACAAAGGAGAUAGACUGAAGCCCAAAAUAGUCUCUCAAAGGCCUUUGCUUAGUGUUUUGUUCUUUGAUCCUAGAAAUGAGGACAACUGAUUCAACCUUACACAGUUAGGCUCUUUAGUUUCAGGGAGUUAUGAGAUUUUAAACUUGAUGCUUGAAUUAACACUGACAAUAAUCGGCUGAUAAUCUUUGAAGAAUCUUAACCUUACAGAAAAUUAGUGUUAGACUAUCUCUUAUCCAACAGAAAAAAAAAUAAAUAUAAAUUUAUUUUUUAAAGGGCUUAAAAUAUAUACAUUUCCUGUUUUGGUACCUAUAAUUAGACUAUGUCUUCUCUCUAAAUGACUUUUUAGCACCUUUGGAAACUGCAUUCUCUUCUUUAAGCCUAUAGUUAUUUCAUUCUGCAACUGCAAGUAAUUGAGGGCUUACUUGUUUGAAAAUAUUAAUGCAGCUUCCAAAGUUGCUUAAUGCAUAACUAAGUACUGGUAGAAUGUUCAGUUCUUUUAAAUGGAUUCAUUUGCUAUAUGUUUCCUUUGGAAGUUUCUGUUUAUAAUUGAUUAAACUAUGCUCAUGAAACACACUGAUAAAUAGAGCAAUCUAAAGAUACCAAGAAAAGCCAUGAACAUUGUCCAAGAUAUGUAGGGAAUUUGUAUUUCUUGACUAAAUGCUACAUCCAUUCUUCCUCCUUAUCAACCAUUCCUCCAAAUAUCCAGGUUGCUUUUUUGUAUCCUUUAGUGAUGACAAGAUGUUUUUCAUUCCUCUAAUGAAGUGGGAAGCAGAUUAACAUUUUUUCUUCUCAGGAAUUAGAUUACUUAUUGUAGUACUGCUCAAUAUAUCCUUGUAAUACUCACCGACCCCUACCCACAACUAAUUAGUGACUUUCAGAAUUAGGGAAAAUCUAAGUUGUGUGGUGGCUCUAUAUUUAUCAGUGAUCAAGGAAGUGUUACUAAUACACUUGUUGGUGUUAAAAAAGAAUUAAGUAAAUAAAGGGCCAGAUGGUCGAGCCCAGGACCUAUCAAGAGCCCAGUAUGUGUGGGCUGGUCCAACGGAAUGACAGAAACAUUACCAGGCUAAGUGGAAUCAGAAUUAGGCUUAUACUUAUAAGAAAAAGAAUGUUUUUCUAAUGUGUUCUUAUGAUACCGUAAUUUAUAUGUUCAGAUCUCAUUUGUACGAGUAACAUUUGAGUGCAUGUGUUUCCCUGUGCAUCAAAAGCCAACAGUGUUUACAUGUAUCAGAAAAAUCUCUUGGAACAGAAUAUAGUGGCAUCAAAGUAAGUUACCAUGUAAGCACUUUUUUUUUUCUGGUUCAGAAAAGAAUUCUUCUUUGUUCUCUCAGACAAAUCUAUGUUUUUAUUAUUAUAACUCAACUAUUACACUUUAUUAUAAUUGUAUAUCUGUCUCUUCCAAUAGACUCUAUGGCUCAUGAUAUGAGAAACCUUGUUAUGUAGUGUUUGCUAUAUUGCUUGGCCAGAUGAGGAUCUAGUAAAUAUUCUUUUUUUUUAAUAUAAACAUACUCUUUAUUGUAAAUUCCACAAAGCCUUUUGAUUCUCAUAGAAUAUUUUAAUUGACUUUUUAAAAAUUAUUUUAUCUGUAGAGAAUCUUAUUGUUGCAACUGAUAGAUAAAGGCAAUUCCAUCAUGAAUACUGGUUGACAUUUUCUUUGCAUUAAAGAGAAAGAUGAAAGUAAAAAAAUGGGGAUGUAUGGCAGAAAUACAUUCUUUUAUCAAGGACAUGAGAAACGUCAUUGUUGAACCAGAUAAUAAUUUUGAAUAGUUUCAAAAAUAUAUUUCUUCAACUAUUUGCACUUACUGAUGUGACAACUAUAGAAUGACACACACAUUUAAAGUUCAUUAUUAUUAUUUUCUCUGUUACUUAAAAAAAGUCUAGACAAUCAACAAGGACAUCUAUAUCUUUAGUACAGAGUGGUGGUAGUGUAUGUAUAAAGGUUAGAGUAUCUGCCUUCCCAAAUUUGAGAUCACCGUUUUGGGAUGAAUCACCCAGAAUAGAAAGCUAGUUAUAUAACAUAUAUCCUGGAUCUUCUAAAGGAUUGAGAAGAAGAUACACAAUGGUCAGUGCUUUGAAAUUUGCUCUUGCCAUAUUCUAUUCUUUGCUUGGACAAAUGGAUUUACUAAGUUGUAGCCCAAACAUGCUUGACUUGAAUUAAAAGGACUAGAAUCCUGGGAGUUCCUGUUGUGGCCCAGUAGAAAUGAAUCUGGCUAGUAUCCAUGAGGAUAGGGAUUCAAUCCAUGGCCUUAUUCAGUUGGUUGUAGGUACGGCAUUGCCGCAUUGCCGUGAGCUGUGGUGUAGGUCCCAGACAUGGCUUGGAUCCCAUGUUGCUGUGGCUGUGGUGUAGGCUGGCAGCUGAAGCUCUGAUUUGACCCCUAGCCCGGGAACUUCAAUGAGGAUCUACAAAUUUCCUUCCUUUCCUAUGAGCUAAUUGUCUUUACAUUAUAGAAACAGCUAGACUACCCACUCUAGUUUCCAUCACUCUAAUUUUUUGUCUAUUUUAUUUUAUCUUAUAGCUAUGUACUUUUGGAAGCUCUUUUAAAUCUUUUUGGUUUCUGGAAAAGAUACAUAAAUCAGUGAAUUACUGGGUAGGUAAAUUGACUAAGUAGAGUCAAUGUUUCUUAAUUCUGGUGUGGAUUAAGAAAUUUGGUCUAUAAUGGAGGAGUUAUCUUUAAUGGCCUGCCUUCUUAAUAGAGGAUUGCUUCUAGAUUAAAUGCAGCAGGCAAAAUUAUUUCAGAUUAUAUCUUAAAGGGUGGGUGACCCUGGGAUGAAGAUACAUGAAGCAAUCUUUGCUUACUAGGUAAGUCAUUUAGAAAACAAUUUUGUAAAUUUAGCUUAUAAUAUAUGAUAUUGGUCUUCUCUAUAAGUAUUUUCAAAUCUCAGAUUGAAAAAUCAUGGGAAUUUAUAGUAUUUUUCAAAUUAUAAAAAUUAUUUCUUUAAAGAUUGUUUAUUAAUAGGCCAGAGUUUGAGUUUAUCUGUGAAUUUGGUAGUAGUAGUAGUAGUGACGAACGAGCAGGUGAUGGAAACAUAUAUUUUUCCCUUCCUCUCUUUGGAUAUGUGUGUGGAAUAUUUUUGUCUUCCAAUCAGAUUGUUCAUUAUGCUCCCUUUGGAAGUGUGUAUUGUUUGGCCUUCCAGCCUUACAUGCUCAUUCAAAGGCAUUCCAAGUCAUUAUGCUGGACUUCAGCCUUGUUCAGUAAAAAGGCUAUUUCCUCCAUCAGCUGUCCACUUGGACAUACAUUCUUUUUACUCUCAAAAAGACUUUAUGUGCAUUCAGAGAAUAUUAGAUGGAUUUGUCAAAUUCCUCACAGAUAAUCAGUUUUUUAAAGUUAUAAUUUGAGCUAUGACCUCUCAAACUGUGAAUUAUAAGGUUUGACAUUUUGGUUCACUGUUUGACACAUCAGCCAUUAAUUAUAGUUUUUAAAGGACAUUUUAUUUCGGUUAGAAUUUAUGUUAUGAAAAUAGUUUAAGUAUUUUUCCUUUAACUUUCAGGAAUAAAUGUACAUAUGUAAUAUGUACAUUCAGGUAUAGCAAAUAGCUAGCUUGCGUAUGCAUCCUAUAUUCAAAUAUAUUUAUACAUGUUUGUCUAUUAUGCCUGUUAUACAUAUCCAUAGAGAUUUUUAUAUAAUAACCUAUGAAUUAACACUAAGAUCAUACUUCAGUAACUCUGGUGUCAGAAUGAGACUGACUUUUAAAAUAAUGUUUAUCGGGGUGAAAAGAACUUUAUUAUUAUUUGAAUCUAGGUUUUAUUCCCUUUUUUCAUUGAACAGGGAUAUAGAAGUAGGUGCCUAUGAAUGCCCUGUCUGACAGUAAUUUGAAAGUCUUUAAGAGGGAACAAAGAAAAUGAUGAGGGAGAAUAUAAACUGGUCAAGUGGUGUUUGCAUACUCAAGUUUCUGAGAUGGAGCGUACAUAGCAGAGAGGUCACUUUGAGUAAGGGGAGAAAAACAUCCAGAUGUGUGAACACUUUGCUGAUAUCCUUAGUAUUUGAAAUGGGGGAAUUUAGUGACUUUGUAUUGAAUAAAAAGAAGAUAUACAUAUAUCUGAAAAUAGUUCAGCAUACAGUUUUCUGUUGCUAUUUAAUAAAAAUCUAAUAAUAUUUUAGAUGAUUUCUUCACUUCUAAGGCAGUUUUUCUCAUUUUGUAAUAAAUCAUGUUCUUUGUUGCUAAGUUCAUAAAAUUAAAUCUAAAAUAUUAUGGAGAGAUAAUUAUUUAAAAACAUCUGAAUAUUUUUCUUAAAGAUAUAUAACCAUCCUUUUCUAUUUCAAAUAUUUUAGAAAUGGUUAAUUUGGUUUUGUACAAAUUCUUCUCUUGGCUAAAGUUAGCAUGUUUUUCACAUGAAAAGUUAAUAAUUUAGAUGACAACAUUGAAAAUAAAGACCUCUUAAGGAAAGUGACCCAUGUAGGUUCCAUAGUACUUGCUCCUAAAAUUUUUUAAUACAUAUAUAUUUCCUUUGUGUUUGAGUGUACUAUUU